UACGUAGGUCCCGAGCGUUGUCCGGAUUUAUUGGGCGUAAAGCGAGCGCAGGUGGUUUAUUAAGUCUGGUGUAAAAGGCAGUGGCUCAACCAUUGUAUGCAUUGGAAACUGGUAGACUUGAGUGCAGGAGAGGAGAGUGGAAUUCCAUGUGUAGCGGUGAAAUGCGUAGAUAUCACGCAGAACUCCGAUUGCGAAGGCAGCAUACCGGCGCCCGACUGACGCUGAAGCACGAAAGCGUGGGUAUCGAACAGG
rnacentral:rRNA from 1 species